rnacentral:rRNA from 1 species
AUUGAACGCUGGCGGCAUGCUUUACACAUGCAAGUCGAACGGCAGCGCGGGCUUCGUCCUGGCGGCGAGUGGCGAACGGGUGAGUAAUGCAUCGGAACGUGCCCAGUAGUGGGGGAUAGCCCGGCGAAAGCCGGAUUAAUACCGCAUACGACCUGAGGGUGAAAGCGGGGGACCGAAAGGCCUCGCGCUAUUGGAGCGGCCGAUGUCGGAUUAGCUAGUUGGUUGGGUAAAGGCUUACCAAGGCGACGAUCCGUAGCUGGUCUGAGAGGACGACCAGCCACACUGGGACUGAGACACGGCCCAGACUCCUACGGGAGGCAGCAGUGGGGAAUUUUGGACAAUGGGGGCAACCCUGAUCCAGCCAUGCCGCGUGCGGGAAGAAGGCCUUCGGGUUGUAAACCGCUUUUGUUCGGGAAGAAAUCCUCUGGGCUAAUACCCCGGGGGGAUGACGGUACCGGAAGAAUAAGCACCGGCUAACUACGUG